rnacentral:rRNA from 1 species
CACGUAGGGUGCGAGCGUUGUCCGGAAUUAUUGGGCGUAAAGAGCUCGUAGGCGGUCUGUCGCGUCGGCUGUGAAAUCCCGAGGCUCAACCUCGGGUCUGCAGUCGAUACGGGCAAACUGGAGUGUUGCAGGGGAGACUGGAAUUCCUGGUGUAGCGGUGAAAUGCGCAGAUAUCAGGAGGAAUACCGAUGGCGAAGGCAGGUCCCUGGGCCAAUACUGACGCUCAUGCACGAAAGCGUGGGGAGCAAACAGG